rnacentral:rRNA from 1 species
CGCGGUUGGGGGCGUGCUACCAUGCAGUCGACGGUAAGGCCCUUCGGGGUACACGAGUGGCGAACGGGUGAGUAACACGUGGGUGAUCUGCCCUGCACUUUGGGAUAAGCCUGGGAAACUGGGUCUAAUACCGAAUACACCCUGCUGGUCGCAUGGCCUGGUGGGGGAAAGCUUUUGCGGUGUGGGAUGGGCCCGCGGCCUAUCAGCUUGUUGGUGGGGUGAUGGCCUACCAAGGCGACGACGGGUAGCCGGCCUGAGAGGGUGUCCGGCCACACUGGGACUGAGAUACGGCCCAGACUCCUACGGGAGGCAGCAGUGGGGAAUAUUGCACAAUGGGCGCAAGCCUGAUGCAGCGACGCCGCGUGAGGGAUGACGGCCUUCGGGUUGUAAACCUCUUUCACCAGGGACGAAGCGUGAGUGACGGUACCUGGAGAAGAAGCACCGGCCAACUACGUGCCAGCAGCCGCGGUAAUACGUAGGGUGCGAGCGUUGUCCGGAAUUACUGGGCGUAAAGAGCUCGUAGGUGGUUUGUCGCGUUGUUCGUGAAAACUCACAGCUUAACUGUGGGCGUGCGGGCGAUACGGGCAGACUGGAGUACUGCAGGGGAGACUGGAAUUCCUGGUGUAGCGGUGGAAUGCGCAGAUAUCAGGAGGAACACCGGUGGCGAAGGCGGGUCUCUGGGCAGUAACUGACGCUGAGGAGCGAAAGCGUGGGGAGCGAACAGGAUUAGAUACCCUGGUAGUCCACGCCGUAAACGGUGGGUACUAGGUGUGGGUUUCCUUCCUUGGGAUCCGUGCCGUAGCUAACGCAUUAAGUACCCCGCCUGGGGAGUACGGCCGCAAGGCUAAAACUCAAAGAAAUUGACGGGGGCCCGCACAAGCGGCGGAGCAUGUGGAUUAAUUCGAUGCAACGCGAAGAACCUUACCUGGGUUUGACAUGCACAGGACGCCGGCAGAGAUGUCGGUUCCCUUGUGGCCUGUGUGCAGGUGGUGCAUGGCUGUCGUCAGCUCGUGUCGUGAGAUGUUGGGGUUAAGUCCCGCAACGAGCGCAACCCUUGUCUCAUGUUGCCAGCACGUUAUUGGUGGGGGACUCCCUGAGAAAACUGCCCGGGGUCAACUUCGGAAGAAAGGUGGGGGAUAACAUUCAAGUCUUCAUGGCCCCUUAUUGUCCCGGGGCUUUCCAACAUGGUUACAAUGGGGCGGGUACAAAAGGGGUGCCAAAUCCCCUGAGGUGGAGAGCAAAACUCUUUCUAAACGCCG